rnacentral:ncRNA from 1 species
GUGAGCCGUGUAAUAGGCGACCAUUUCGCGCGGUUCGGGGGGCACUAGAAUAAGCCGCCGGCACCCUGCUGCAUCUUUACCCCUAU